rnacentral:lncRNA from 1 species
UUCUACAAGCAUGUCUAUUCUUAGCUCUGUUUUUGACAGUACAACACUGAGGUCAUACUCAGCAUUGACACUGUUUCUGUACUUGAGAACCCUGAAUUGCAUAGGUAUGUGGUGCCAAACUGGAUCAGAACAUCUACUGCUUUCUCAGUCAGGCAGGAGACCGCUUCCUGCUGCAGAUGAGCAACCCAGAACUGGUUUCUACAACAGUAGCAGCAGGCCCCUGUUCCACCAGAAGGUGAGACCUGGGACAACCCUCCCACCCGGUCUACCACCCCAGCCCCCUUCCUGGACCACAGGGGCCCACACGUUCAGACAUGGACCCCUCCACCUUCCACACUCACCUUCACUUGGGGAGCGGUGUUUUUUUAAAUGAAAUUGAUUUAACCAGGCAAGUCAGUUAAGAACAAAUUCUUAUUUACAAUGACGGCCUACCCCAGCUGAUGCAGGGUCAAUUGUGCACUGCCCUAUGGGACUCCCAAUCACGACUGGAUGUGAUACAGCCUGGAUACAAACCAGGGACUGUAGUGACACCUCUUGCACUGAGAUGCAGUGCCUUAGACCGCUGCGCCACUCAGGAGCGUUACAGCUCUACACCGUGCCCCCUGGCCUGCUUCCUAGGGUACCCUUCUUCUUUAUCUGCACUGGCCAUGGCAAGGUCUUCUGGGAAUGGUCCCACUUCAGCAGGGUCGUGUCACAGUUCCAAGAAGUGCUCUAUAUCACUGAGGAUACUACUCCAUCAUCGAACAAGGCUUGACCCCUAACCUCUGACCCCUGACCUCUCUCAGUCCAUCUUGUAGGAAUCAAAAUGUCCACUGACUGAAGUAGGCCUACUCUGCUGAUGACUGUCUUCACACCUAAUUUGCUGCUUUUCCAUUUUCCCCCCCAAAAAUAUUCCGUUGUUUCGUACGUCCCAAUGUUCUAAGGAGUCUUUUACUAUGUUAUUACAGUGGAAAUAAUUAAAGUUUUUAAGCCAUAUGUUAUUAUGAGUUUAAAUAUUUUUUACGUAGGGAUGGGUCAGGUUAAGAGUGUGGUCUACUGUCUGGGAAGUUUUUUUAACUGGCAUAUGUUUAAAGAAAUAUCAUUAUAUUCUUAUCACAUCAUCUUAAACCCCAUUUGAUUUGAACUACUUUUCCAUUAAGUGACAAGGGGGGUCAUACUGUUCUGCAUUCUGUGGCCUUCAUGCAGAAAAUGUUGCGUUUUAUUGUUGACUAUAUAAAAUAAGUUGUUUUAUAAAAAAAGAGAACAUCACUAUGGCGUUCCAUAUUAUUUUGGAAUGAUGG